CAGCAGCCGCGGUAAUACGUAGGUGGCAAGCGUUGUCCGGAAUUAUUGGGCGUGAAGGGCCCGCAGGCGGUUUCUUAAGUCUGAUGUGAAAGCCCCCGGCUCAACCGGGGAGGGUCAUUGGAAACUGGGAAACUUGAGUGCAGAAGAGGAGAGUGGAAUUCCACGUGUAGCGGUGAAAUGCGUAGAGAUGUGGAGGAACACCAGUGGCGAAGGCGCCUCUCUGGUCUGUAACUGACGCUGAGGAGCGAAAGCGUGGGGAGCGAACAGGAUUAGAUACCCGGGUAGUCCCUGUCUCUUAUAC
rnacentral:rRNA from 1 species